rnacentral:rRNA from 1 species
CAGCCGCCGCGGUAAUACGGAGGGUGCAAGCGUUACUCGGAAUUACUGGGCGUAAAGCGUGUGUAGGUGGUUGUUUAAGUCUGUCGUGAAAGCCCUGGGCUCAACCUGGGAAUUGCGAUGGAUACUGGGCGACUAGAGUGCGGUAGAGGAUAGUGGAAUUUCCGGUGUAGCAGUGAAAUGCGUAGAGAUCGGAAGGAACAUCUGUGGCGAAGGCGACUAUCUGGGCCAACACUGACACUGAGACACGAAAGCGUGGGGAGCAAACAGGAUUAGAUACCCGGGUAGUCCCUGUCUCUUAUAC